rnacentral:rRNA from 1 species
UUGAUCCUGGCAGAGGCUACUGCUAUUGGGGUUCGAUUAAGCCAUGCAAGUUGAACGAUUCUUCGGAAUCGUGGCGAACGGCUCAGUAACACGUGGAUAACCUACCCUUAGGACCGGUAUAACCCUGGGAAACUGGGGACAAUCCCGGAUAGGUGAUUUUUUCCGUAAUGAUUUUUCAUUUAAAUGCUCCGGCGCCUGAGGAUGGGUCUGCGGCAGAUUAGGUAGUUGGUAGGGUAAUGGCCUACCAAGCCGGUGAUCUGUACGGGUUGUGAGAGCAAGAGCCCGGAGAUGGAACCUGAGACAAGGUUCCAGGCCCUACGGGGCGCAGCAGGCGCGAAACCUCCGCAAUCGAGAAAUCGCGACGGGGGGACCCCAAGUGCCACUCUUAACGGGGUGGCUUUUCUUGAGUGUAAAAAGCUUUUGGAAUAAGGGCUGGGCAAGACCGGUGCCAGCCGCCGCGGUAACACCGGCAGCUCUAGUGGUAGCCAUUUUUAUUGGGCCUAAAGCGUUCGUAGCCGGUUUGAUAAGUCUCUGGUGAAAUCCUGUAGCUUAACUGUGGGAAUUGCUGGAGAUACUAUUAGACUUGAGGUCGGGAGAGGUUAGCGGUACUCCCAGGGUAGGGGUGAAAUCCUGUAAUCCUGGGAGGACCACCUGUGGCGAAGGCGGCUAACUGGAACGAACCUGACGGUGAGGGACGAAAGCCAGGGGCGCGAACCGGAUUAGAUACCCGGGUAGUCCUGGCCGUAAACG